GACGUGCUAUGUAUAGAAUAUCCUCACUCCAGUUUUGCUUCAACGUUUAUCAAGUUUCCUUUUCCGUCGUAAUGAAACUAAAGUGAUAAGUCCUUCUCCCCACUGGUCAAAUUUUCUCGACAGUUAGACGUAGGCGUUAUAACACCCGAAACACUUGGUUACCAGCAAAUAACACAAUUUGCGUUUCCUACAUAAAAUAGCAAAAUUUUUUUAGAAUUUAUAGAAAUAUAAUUUCACUGCGAACAAUCAAAAUAUUACACGCGAAACUUAGAACUGCCCUCCCGUGUAUUUAUUUAUAGCUUUAAAUUAGUCGGUGUCAGGGUAGAAUGGUAGGACAAAGUCUUUUAAGUUGAAAAUAAAUCAGGGAAUUAUCAUAAACCACGUUUAUAUAUUUUUAAUCUUUUGUAACCAUGAUUACACAAUUUAGAAACAAGCAGCUCUUAGGCUGAAUUUCUUACCUUGCUCUACUCAUAUUAUACUCCUUCAUUUGGUUUUUUCAAGCACCUGGUUUGUGUAUUGGCAUCACUGGUUCUUGUAACUUAAUCUUAGGUUAAUAUUUUCAGAGCUUUAAAAUCCAUCGUAAUCCAAAGUACCCAAAUACUGUUUAAAACUGUGAUCCAACCUAAUUCUCUUCAUAUGAAGAAACACACAACAACUCGGAAUAACACUUUUAUUCCUUAAAUUGCAUUUUGGUGUUAUACAGUUUUGGUUGAUUCAAAAGUUAGGACCAAACUGAAUGAGCGUAUAGGAAUCCAUGUCCUCCUCAGACUCGACACCUCUCGAUUACUACUUUUGGGGGCAAGUCAAGAGCCUCGUUUACGAGACUCCGGCGGACGACCCAGAACAAAUUUGGCCAGAA